GGGGGGGGGGGGGGGGGGGGGGGGGGGGGGGGGGGCGGGGGGGCGGGCGGGGAGCGUGCGGCGCGGAUGUUAGCGGCGGACGGGUGAGUAACACGUGGAGAACCUACCUAUAAGACUGGGAUAACUUCGGGAAACCGGAGCUAAUACCGGAUAAUAUUUUGAACCGCAUGGUUCAAAAGUGAAAGACGGUCUUGCUGUCACUUAUAGAUGGAUCCGCGCUGCAUUAGCUAGUUGGUAAGGUAACGGCUUACCAAGGCAACGAUGCAUAGCCGACCUGAGAGGGUGAUCGGCCACACUGGAACUGAGACACGGCCCAGACUCCUACGGGAGGCAGCAGUAGGGAAUCUUCCGCAAUGGGCGAAAGCCUGACGGAGCAACGCCGCGUGAGUGAUGAAGGUCUUCGGAUCGUAAAACUCUGUUAUUAGGGAAGAACAUAUGUGUAAGUAACUGUGCACAUCUUGACGGUACCUAAUCAGAAAGCCACGGCUAACUACGUG
rnacentral:rRNA from 1 species